AGAGUUUGAUCCUGGCUCAGGACGAACGCUGGCGGCGUGCUUAACACAUGCAAGUCGAACGCUGAAGCCCAGCUUGCUGGGUGGAUGAGUGGCGAACGGGUGAGUAACACGUGAGUAACCUGCCCCUUCUUUGGGAUAACGCCCGGAAACGGGUGCUAAUACUGGAUAUUCACUGGCCUUCGCAUGGGGGUUGGUGGAAAGGUUUUUUCUGGUGGGGGAUGGGCUCGCGGCCUAUCAGCUUGUUGGUGGGGUGAUGGCCUACCAAGGCUUUGACGGGUAGCCGGCCUGAGAGGGUGACCGGUCACAUUGGGACUGAGAUACGGCCCAGACUCCUACGGGAGGCAGCAGUGGGGAAUAUUGCACAAUGGGCGAAAGCCUGAUGCAGCGACGCCGCGUGAGGGAUGACGGCCUUCGGGUUGUAAACCUCUUUCGCUCAUGGUCAAGCCGCGACAUUGGUUGUGGUGAGGGUAGUGGGUAAAGAAGCGCCGGCUAACUACGUG
rnacentral:rRNA from 1 species